rnacentral:misc_RNA from 1 species
AGCAGCCGCGGUAAUUCCAGCUCCAAUAGCGUAUAUUAAAGUUGUUGCAGUUAAAAAGCUCGUAGUUGAACUUCGGGGUUUACUCAUUGGUCAGGCUUAAUUGUCUGUACUGGUGAGAUAAAUCUCUACCUUCUGAGGAACUUUCAUGCCAUUUAUUUGGUGUGAUUGGAAAUCAGGACUGUUACUUUGAAAAAAUUGAGUGU